rnacentral:lncRNA from 1 species
CCGAGAUACAGUGCAGCCUAGUUAUAAUGUAUGUUGUGUAGACAGAUAUUCCGCAACUCAGUCUAGGUGGGAAAUAUAUACCGAGAUACAGUGCACCCUGGUUAUAAUGUAUGUUGUGUAGACAGAUAUUCCGCAACUCAUUCUAGGUGGGAAAUAGAUACCGAGAUACAGUGCAGCCUAGUUAUAAUGUAUGUUGUGUAGACAGAUAUUCCGCAACUCAGUCUAGGUGGGAAAUAUAUACCGAGAUACAGUGCACCCUGGUUAUAAUGUAUGUUGUGUAGACAGAUAUUCCGCAACUCAUUCUAGGUGGGAAAUAUAUACCGAGAUACAGUGCACCCUGGUUAUAAUGUAUAUUGUGUAGACAGAUAUUCCGCAACUCAGUUUAGGUGGGAAAUAGAUACCGAGAUACAGUGCACCCUGGUUAUAAUGUAUAUUGUGUAGACAGAUAUUCCGCAACUCAUUCUAGGUGGGAAAUAUGUACCGAGAUACAGUGCACCCUGGUUAUAAUGUAUGUGAUGUAGACAGAGAUUCCGCAGCUCAGUCUAGGUGGGAAAUAGAUACCCAGAUACAGUGCACCCUUGUUAUAAUGUAUGUUGUGUAGACAGAUAUUCCGCAACUCAGUCUAGGUGGGAAAUAGAUACCGAGAUACAGUGCACCCUGGUUAUAAUGUAUGUUGUGCUAAGUGUAGACAAAUAUUCCGCAACUCAGUCUAGGUGGGAAAUAGAUGCCGAGAUACAGUGCACCCUGGUUA